ensembl:lncRNA CCDC26 CCDC26 long non-coding RNA
AGAGCUGACAGCUGCUGCCUGAAUCUACUCAUCUGUGAGCCACAAAGGGGCAAAGUUUAAAGGAACAGCACUUCUUAGCUGUUCACAGUUCUACGAGGGCAGGGCAGAACAGGACCAGCUGGUGCCUACAGUCCAGUUACUUCUUUGCUCUGUCCCUGGGGUCGGAUCUCACCUGUUUUUGAUCUUUGGCACAUUUUCCUGCAAUGAUGAACGAGUGAGGCGGGCUGGGAGUGAAUAAGGAGACUUUUAGGUGUUGCCUCAGCUUCUCAAAGUUUCUGGUGUUUAUGAAGAUCCAUAACAGCUGGCUGCAAACCCAACUCCUGAGAAUCAUUUCUGGGAGAAUGCCGAAGACUGCAUUUCAACUUCAAGAAUGCUAUUUUGCUUAUUACUGAGUUGCAAUUUCCUUCUAUAUUCUGAAUACAAAUUCAUCAUCAGAUAUAUGUGUUGUGAAGUUUUCUUCGAGGAUUUUCCAGGCACCUCAAAUUCAACAUGUACAAAAUGGAUCCUGGUGUCUUUAUUCCCUGCAUCAGAAGUAGCUCCUGAGUUUUCAUCAUGGAAAGGAUUCAAGGAAGGCAUCAACCUUUGUGAAAAGAGGAUGAAGGAACCAGGGGAUUUAUCACAAAUCUGUUCACACCACCCUAUGCUUGUCCAUAGCAAAGAAUUGGGGUGGGGGCUGAUGAGGAUUGCAGAGGGAGAAACUAAUGGCUCCUUCCAAGGAGUUUCAUGGAAAUGAUGAUCCUGUUCCCGUCAUUGCUCCUCCUGUGCUUCUGUGCUGGCUGAUGAUGUUGGUUUGGAUAGAAUCCAUGCAGAGGUGGUAAUUUUCAAACCAGCUCAGUCCCAUUAUCUUACAACAAGCAUUUACUGAAGGCAUGCUAUGUGCCUAUCACUGUCAACCAGACAAGGACCUGCAUACCUGUAAGUAAGACCAUAGCCCUAGAGACUGAGGUCAGCUGAACUCAUGAGUCCUGCUUUCCAUCCAUGGAGAGCCAAGGCUCUCAGAGUGUCCUUUGGGAACAGAGAUGACUGAGCAGGGGUUCACCUAGGCUGGUUUGGAAUUCACAGUGUUUUUUUUUUUUAAUUACAAACUAGAAAUCCAAUUUUUUAUAAAAAAGGAUAAACUCGAAGUUGUAAUCUCUAGGGAGACAUUUAUAGCAUCUUCUUUGACUUCAGCAUGUGAAAGAGUAAGGAAGGAUAGUCCAGGCCAAGGAAUCAACUUUUGCAGGGAAGGGAAUUUUGUAGGGUAGUCAGAGGCCAGUGUGUCAUUCUCUGCGGUUACAGUGUACUGUAGGUGGUGCGAGGUGACAUAAGCAAAAGUGCCUGGAGCUUAGUGGGUGAUGACUAAAUCAGUAUUCUUUUCCUUUCUUUCCCUUUCCCUAAGCCUCGGCUGAUGCUUCUCUGUCAAAUCAGGUUCAUUGUCAGCCUGCUGGGUUUUUUUUUUUUUUAGUAUAUCGACUAUAGUUAAGACUUCAAUUUUUCCAAUUAGUAUUUUAAAUUAUAUAAUAAUUAAAUUCAUCCUGUUAAAAAAUUAACCCUUGUAAAAAUGAUUAUUCUUCUCUCCAGAAUGAAGUGCUGUUACAUUUUUCUUACAUAUCCUUCAGAAAGACUUCUGUAUAUAUAAAUGUCCAUAUGUUUUCUUCUUUUCAAAAUAAAUCAUAUUAUAAAUUA